GACGGAGGAUGCAAGCGUUAUCCGGAAUGAUUGGGCGUAAAGCGUCCGCAGGUGGCAGUUCAAGUCUGCUGUCAAAGACCGGGGCUUAACUUCGGAAAGGCAGUGGAAACUGAACAGCUAGAGUAUGGUAGGGGCAGAGGGAAUUCCUGGUGUAGCGGUGAAAUGCGCAGAUAUCAGGAGGAACACCGGUGGCGAAGGCGGCUCUCUGGACCACAACUGACGCUGAGGCGCGAAAGCUAGGGGAGCAAACAGG
rnacentral:rRNA from 1 species